GAGGAAGGCGCGAGGGGCUACGUCAAGGCCAAAGCCAACAGCGAGCAUGAUAACUCGGCGUUGAUUAUAGAGUGAGGACUGCGUCACACGGACCGCACGGAUGUGUGCAUUAACCUUACCCCGGAUCUGAAAACCUUCAAGAGUACAGCCAAUAUAUUCGUCCAGAAUGUUCUAAAAGGGAAAGACCUUUUGAACUAAGAAAGUAAGUCAUUUGGAAUGACAUGAGAGAUCAGGAGAGCUGGACGUCUGCCAAGCAGUGAAUGUGCUUCCUGGUGUCUGUGGCCAGCAGAGAGAGUAAACACACACAGCCUGAAGAUAUGUGACAUUUUGUCCUUUUACUAUGGCAGACAUCACAGAGGAGACAGAUGUGAUGGCUGUUUUGAAAGAUCAAGAGAGUGAAAAGCCCAAAACGCUGCUCCGCAAGCUCCAAAGCUCAACGGGGAGCUCCUCAUAUGUCUACAUGAAAAACCAAGGUUGGCUGGGCAAAUGGAGUUCAUCUAAAGACAUCCUGACCAUUGAUCCCUCUUACGUGACUAAUUGCCUAAAUCUGAUCGGUGUGAACAUGCUGCGUGCCAUUCAUCUGAAACGCCCUCGUCCUGCCUUGAAAGUACACAAAAGAUAUUCGAAGACCAUUGGAACCCAGUUUUGGUGACUAUUUACCUUCUCAAAACAUCCUUAAGUUCUACGUAAGAAAGAAAGUACAAGUUUUGAGAUGAGGGAGGCUGCUAGUGUGUUCCUGAAAGCGUGGCAUGUUCCCUACAGAUGAUCUUGCGUGGGAAGCUGACUCAGGGCUUGGGCACAAAGCGCGCUGUCAAAAACCCUCCGUGAACUGGAUGUGGCGGAAAUGGGCUUCCAUAUGAUGCUGACUUUUUUGGCAGUUCUGGAUUAUUAUGGCUGUUUUUGAGGCAAGUGCUCCUGAGUCAUUUGGAUGUCGAGUGCCCCCCUGUCUCAACCUCUUUUCCUGCCCUGUUACUCACCGGACCACUUCAAGUUUUCUUGGAGUGAAAAAUUUAUUGCAGGUUGGUAAAUUUUUUAUAGCUCCAUUUCAGUGGACCUUUGAUGGCGUGCUGCGUUCUGUAUCAAUCUGGCAGCGACCAGCCCUUAACAUUCUCACAAGCAGUCCCGUGAGGCCGUCUGACGCACACGCACACCUCCUGAAAAAGUUACACAGAGCGAGCGCUGUCCUGUCUGAUAAAUCCCCGUGGACCAGACCUCUAUGAUUUACCGCAUGUCUGGAGUUGGGCUUCUCUGGAACCAAUGACCCUACCAGGCAAGUGAAGUUUGUCAUCUUAAACACACCAUACGCUGCAAAUGGUCUGUAAAAGCAGAUUUGUUCUGUAUUAUAAUCCUAUCUUAAUUAUUCAUCUCAGUUUUGGAAAUCCACUGAGUGCUCGAAAAUUACAAGAUCAGACUUGCUGGUUUUGCUCUCAGCCUGUGGGCUAAACUUUUGGAUGGCCUCCUGACUGAACCUCUUUUUACUCUUACGACAACAAAACAUUUGCCUCUGUCCAGUAUGUAGGGGAGACCAGGGAUGGUUGUAACACUUUUCCUUGACGUGUAUAAAUCUAGAUUUUUUUUCCACUCAUUUAUCUCAGACUUUUACUAUGAAGUUUUCUGGCCAUGUUAAAAAAAAAAAAAAUCUAAGAUUACGAUA